ensembl:lncRNA
UGCCAUACAUGGUGUUUCAGGCAGUAACAUGGGGUACUGCAUGUUUCAAGCCACACAUUGGUUGCUUCCACCAUGGUAAGUACAUAACGCUUACCAUUGCGAGAUCUUGGCAAGGUGAUAUAAUCAACCUGCCACACCUCCCCAUAUUUAUACUUCUGCCAUUGCCCUUCCCCCAAGAGAGCUUUCAUCUUCUUGGCUUGUUUAAUUAUGGCACAUGUUUCACAGUCAUGAAUAACCCGAGCAAUGGCAUCCAUAGAUCCAUAGUUAAGUCUGCCCCUUGGUCUCUAGCCGAAUUAUAUGUUGCAUCCCUUUCUUGAUGGCCCGAGUUAUCAUGUGCCCACUGAGCUAGAAAUAAUUCACCCUUGUUCUGCCAGUCCAAGUCUAUUUGAGCCACCUCAAUUCUGGCAGCUUGAUCUACCUGAUGGUUAUUUUUCUGUUCUUCAGUAGCCUGACUCUUGGGCACAUGAGCAUCUACAUGGCACACCUCUACAACCAUAUUUUUUAUUUGGGCAGCAAUGUCUUUCCACAGUUCAGCAGCCCAAAUAGGUUUACCCCUCCACUGCCAGUUAUUUUGCUCCCAUUGCUGUAACCACCCCAUAAGGCAUUUGCCACCAUCCACGAAUCAGUAUAAAGAUAAAGCAUUGGCCAUCUCUCCGUUCAGCAACAUCUAAGGCUAGUUGGUCAGCCUUUACCUCUGCAAAUUGGCUUGAUUCUCCUUUUCCUUCAGUGGCCUCUGCAACUUGUCGCAUGGGGCUCCACACAGCAGAUUUUCAUCUGCGAUGCUUCCCCACUAUACAACACGAUCCAUCUGUGAACAGGGCAUAUUUCUUUUCAUUUUCUGGUAUUUCAGGGAAUCAUAGAAUCAUAGAAUCGCUAAGGUUGGAAAAGACCCACAGGAUCAUCCAGUCCAACCAUUUGCCCUUCACCAAUGGUUCCCGCUAAACCAUGUCCCUCAAUACAACAUCCAAACGCUCUCUGAACACCACCAGGGUCGGUGACUCCACCACCUCUCUGGGCAGCCCAUUCCAGUGCCUGACCACCCUUUCAGAGAAGUAGUAUUUCCUAACGUCCAGCCUGAAUCUUCCCUGGCGCAGCUUGAAACCAUUCCCUCUAGUCCUAUCACUAGUCACCCGAGAGAAGAGGCUGACCCCCAGCUCACUACAACCUCCCUUCAGGUAGUUAGAGAGAGCAAUAAGGUCUCCCCUGAGCCUCCUCUUCUCCAGACUGAACAAUCCCAGCUGCUUCAGCCACUCCUCAUAAGGCCUGUGCUCCAGACCCC